rnacentral:misc_RNA from 1 species
AAGAAGAACUCUUGGUGGCGCACUCUUCUGACCGGGAAGCUCGCACGUAUCGCUCGCAGCGCAGUGAUGUUUUACUUUUUCUGGGAAAGCGACUUCUGACAAUGACAUGUCUGAGGAAAAGCGAUGUUUUGUAUUUAGACUAUUAUGAGCCUUUUGAUGAUCGUGAAUUCUAGUGCAAACAAUGGAAAUGUUGGAUGAUCAAGCUUGUCCACGCUGCAAAUCAACCAAAUUCAGAAAUCCUGCCCUCAAGCUUCUGGUUAACGUCUGUGGACACACUUUAUGUGAAAACUGUGUGGAAGUGUUGUUUGUGAGAGGCUCUGGGGCCUGUCCAUCCUGUAACACUCCACUCCGCAGGAACCAGUUCCGUGUUCAGGAGUUUGAAGAUGCCUAUGUGGAGAAGGAGGUGGAUAUACGGAAACGCAUACUGAAGGAGUUCAACCGCCAGGAAGAUGAAUUUACAUCAUUACAGGAAUACAACGACUACUUGGAAGAAGUAGAAACCAUCAUAUUUAAUCUCACAAAUGAAAUUGAUAUGGAGGCGACAAAGAAAAAAGUUGAAUUAUACCGAAAGAAGAACAAAGAAAGCAUCAUGAAAAACAGAUCCAAGCAGAGUAGUGAUCAGGCUUAUCUGGAGGCUCUCAUCCAAGAAGAAAAAGAAAAAGAGGAGGAGAAGAGGCAACAGCUACAGUUUCUGGAACGCCAGACAAAAAGCCAGAAGAAACGUGAUAAAGAAGCACUUAUUGAUGAACUGAUAUACUCAGAUAUGCCAGCGGCCCGUGUGAUUGCUAGCCAUACUGCCAACGUCGAGACACAAGAAGCACCCGUUUUCAAACUACCCAAGAAAAUGACCUUAGCUACUGGCAUCAAAGUGGGUCUUGGCUAUCAGGAUACCUUCCUGCCUGUGCCUAAGCAGGAGGUGGUUGUAUACCAGUAUGAAGAGGAGCAUUAUGAGACAUAUGGCCCCACUGCACCAACCACAGAGGAGAUAGACACACAAAGAUAUAACAGGCAUGUACGGCCAGCUUCCCCACAAGGUGAAGCAGGUGGCUAUGGACACAACCUGGCAUGCCUCAGGGCCUUGCAAGAAGCUUUCUCAGGUUUGCUGUUCUUCCCAUUGAUUCAUGGCAAAAAGGAAGAGGCUUCUGUCAUGGAAACGAGUUGACGGACAGACAAUAGUCCAAGGUGUAUUUAGGACAUUUAGCCCCCUUUUGACAACUGUACCCUAGCUGUGAAAGGCUUUUUAAUGAACCUAGUUGUGACUUGACCCAUCAAAAUGAGGUACAAGUCGCCAGAGCUAAUUUUGAAUUAUUUGAUUUGUAAAAGCCUUAAGGAUCUACAUACAUAGGAAUAGUCACCCUCUUCACACCCAUAAUAUCUGUAUAUACAGUAAACUCCGGCUAAGAUAACACUCUCGGGACCAGAGAAUUUGUGACGACUUACACGAAUGUCGGCUUCUGCUGCAAGUCGUCAUUUUGCCGACUUACACAAAUACACAAAUUGAAUCACAGAGUGAAAAAAAUAGAUUGAAUUAAUGGCCUAUGCGCAUUAUUUUAACGGAUUGGGUCACAACUUCAGCCUAAUUAAAGAGUCUAAUUAAAUAUCUUGACUCUGAUUAAAGAGUCAAGAUCUGUGCCAAGUUUCAUGACUUUAUACCAAUUUGUGCACAAGGCUGCAUAUUCUGCAAGAGGGAUGGGACUAUCAGUUGAGCCAAGGGCGGAUCCAGAACACAAUUUUUUGGGGGGGCCAAAAAAAAAUUUGGUCCCCCAAAAAAGUGG